UUAUUAUUAUUAUUAUUAUUAUUAUUAUUAUAUUAUUCCAGAGACUGGGUGCAGUUGUUCCCAAGACCACCAGUAACAAGAAAGUUCAGAAGCUACACCAGUGACUCUAAGACACUCCCUACUUUUAGAGAUGUCUAUAUAGAAAAAAACUGUGUCUUAAUUUUAAAGAAAUGCAGUAUUUAUACAAUAUACAUGCACAGGUAGUUCUCAAGUUAGGAAUAAGAUAGGCGAGAAGAGAAGAGUGGUGGGGGGGAGGAGUGGGCGGAUCUCGGUGCUCCUCCCAAUCAGGUGCGACUGAGAGGAGGAGAGCGAAGGGGUGAAACCUUUAAAAGGAAGGGCUUGGCUCAACCCAUCAUCCCCGCCUUCCGCCUCCUGGCCGACGUGAGCGCCUCCUUCUCCUCCUCUCUCUGAGCGUGCUAGCCUCGCAGCAUGUCAAAGAGCAUCCGUGGUCGCGCUCGGGCUCGGAGGCGCUGCCUGCGCCGCCUGACGUCACUUCUGCCACGGCUCCUCCAGAUGGUGGGCCUGCGGGACCCUCGAUGGAAGAGGCUGGUUGGCAAGAAGCGCCGCCGCUUCCGCAGGAGACCCCGUUCGGGGAAGCGGGGCUAGGAGCUCAGCCUUGGAACUGGAUUUCGACCACCGAGGAAACGACGCUUCUGGAGAAUGAAAGCAAUUUUGAGAAACUUUGACAUUCCCGGGGAUGUUGGAGUAUGAAGCGAGCCAAGUCUCCCCGUCUCCAAAGCGCGAUUUCCUCCUGUCCAGACGACGGCUGUCGGGGGCCUUGGAGAAACCUCGGGGAACGAUCGACACUCGAAUACAUUCCCUUUGCAUUUUUCUAAAUAAAGGGUUUUUGGCCUCGUCUGAGUUGGUGUGAAGAUCUUUUCUUUCCUUAUUAAAGUUUGGGUUGCUGGGAUAUUCUUCCCACAGAACUUGGGGCCCUUCCA